CGCCGGUGCGGGAACAGGUUCUGCGGGUGUGGACGGGGAGAGCAAAUUAUUCAGUCAAGUUCCCCACAUUUGGGAAAAUCGCAGUGGUCAGCACAUCUGUAGUGCGCUGGAUAAGCCUCACCCUGGAAAAUCACCUUCAUGAUUGUAGUAUCUUUCCCUGCCUGGAAGUACAGCACCACCCCUAUCAGAACCAACCCAACCAGGAUUCCAAUCACAAUGCCGGCAGUGGCUGCAGAAGACAGGCCCUGAGGCUUAGCUGUCAUGGGAAGAAAGGGAAGAAUGAACAAAGGUGACAUUAUUUCCCUGGAAACAACUCUCAAUUUGAAACUGUCCUUAAUUGUUCCUUUGAAGAAUUCAUUUUCUGUGGGAAGUUCACUCCCAGGCCAUACCAGCUGUGCUCAGAGUUGACUCCUGUGGUUCUGUGCUUGGGAUCACUCCUGGAGUGCUUGGGAUCCUAUGGGAUGCUGAGAAUCAAACUCAGCAUCAGCUACAUGCAAGGCAAGUGUCCUGCUGACUGUACUAUGCCAGAAAUGCACAAACUUCCAAUUAUAUGGGCAUGUACAUUUGCUAACCUAUCAUUAUACUAACCAUGACCUAUAGGCGUAAACCUACCAAUGAGCUCAAGUUUAAAAAUCAGCCAGUACUUAACUUUCCUUUUUAAAAUUUAAGCACAGUAAUACUUAAUACCUAAACCCUAUACAAUUCCUAAUCCUACUGCUAAUAUCCCUAACCCAUACUAAGCUUGACCAUUACUGAAUGCCAAAAAUGAGCAGUUAUAUUUAAUUUAAAGAUUUCCCUAAUCUUAAAAUUCCUUUUAAAACAUGAACACAGAAAAAGCUAACACCUGAAACCUCCACAAACCUAACCUUAACCCUAGCCCUAGGCUAGUUACCCUCACCAAAGCAUGAGCAAAAAUCUACAAAUUAGUCCAAAUUUAACAACAUUCAAUACUUCACUUGCCUUCUGAACUCUGAACACAGCAAAAAUUAACAGCUAAAAAAUCAAAAAUUAACAUCUAAAUUCCUACCCCUAACCUUACUAGACCUAAUCCUAACCCUAACCCUCACCCACACUAAGCCUGACCUUAAUGCCAAAAAAUAACAAUAUUCCUAAAUUGAAAGAUCUCCCUGUACUUAAAUUUCAUUUUAAAGUAUGAACCAUAUGGGAUGCUUGGAAUCAAACGUCCUACCCUCUGUGCUAACAGAGGAAAAGCUAACACCCCAAAACUCCACAAAUCUAAUGGUAACCCCAGCCCUAGGCUAAUCCUAAAGCUAAUCCUGAUAUUAUACUAACCCUGACCCAAGAAUAGGCAUAAAUCUAACAAUUAAUCCAAAUUUAACAAUCACACAAUACUUCACUUGCUUUAUUUAAUUUGUAUGCAGCAAUACUUAACACCCAAACCCUACACAAUCCCUAACCUAAUGCUAGCUCUAAUCCUAAUCUGAACCUGCGCCCAUACUAAAUCUGACGUUUACUGAUCCCAAAACUGACCAAUUAUCCUAAAUUUAAAGAUCUCCUAUAUUUGUAGUAAUCCCUGAGCACAUAGCCAGCAUUAAGCCCUGAGCACCUCUAGGUAUGCCCCACACACAACCAGAAAAAAAAAACCCCAAAAAAACCAAACAAACAUGGGUGCUAGUAAUUUCCUUUUUUAACAAAACCAUGUGUCAAAACUUUUGGGGGACAGGAGUGGGGUAUUAGUAUUUAUGGUCGUAGAAUUUAGGGUCUCCUCCCAGAUCUGUGCCUGUGAAUUAUUUCCUGUGGUGCUUGGGGAACCCUUUGGUGCUUGGGAUCAAAUCUGGGGGACCUACAUGCCAAACACACGCCCUGCCUCUGGAGAUGGUGGGUUUUAACAAAUCUCUACAUUAAAGGUAAUCCUCAACAACAAAUUCUCCUGGAUAAUUUUUUUAUUUUAUUUGAACACUGUAGUUUGCAAGGUUCAUAAUACAGUUGUACAGGCAUUCAGUAUUCCAACACUAAAGUAGUGUGACCUUCCCUUCACCAUUGUUCCCAUUUUCCCAACCACCAGAAGCCUGUCUUAAGUUAGUAAUCACAAAAUAAUUUAUUUUAUAUUUAUUGCUUAUUACAGCUAAAUGGCCAAUGGAAUGAUUAAA